rnacentral:rRNA from 1 species
UACGUAGGGUGCAAGCGUUGUCCGGAAUUAUUGGGCGUAAAGAGCUCGUAGGCGGUCUGUCGCGUCGGCUGUGAAAACUCGGGGCUCAACCCCGAGCCUGCAGUCGAUACGGGCAGACUAGAGUGCUGUAGGGGAGACUGGAAUUCCUGGUGUAGCGGUGAAAUGCGCAGAUAUCAGGAGGAACACCGGUGGCGAAGGCGGGUUCUC